AGUCUGGCAACUUCAAAGAAUUACGGUCUCAUAUUAUUCAAUUGUCUUUAAGAGCAUCACAUAUGUUACAAAAUACUGUCACAUUUCUUCAUGUAUCAGUACUAUAAAUGCUUUCUGUACUUGAUCAGCAAAAAUAUAAAAUUAAAUUAUCACAACUGAAUAUCUAUUUGACAAUUGAAGUAGAGAUGGCAAUGCAACUUGAACCCAAAAUAAAUUUU
rnacentral:misc_RNA from 1 species